rnacentral:rRNA from 1 species
GUGCCAGCAGCCGCGGUAAGACGAACCGUGCGAACGUUAUUCGGAAUCAUUGGGCUUAAAGGGCGCGUAGGCGGAUGACUGCGUCGAGUGCUGAAAUCCCCCGGCUUAACCGGGGAAUGGGCCUCGAAACGGGUCGUCUCGAGGCGAGGAGAGGGACCUGGAACAUCCGGUGGAGCGGUGAAAUGCGUUGAGAUCGGAUGGAACACCAAUGGCGAAAGCAAGGUCCUGGACUCGUAUCUGACGCUGAGGCGCGAAAGCCAGGGGAGCGAACGGGAUUAGAUACCCUAGUAGUCC